UACGAAGGGUGCAAACGUUGCUCGGAAUUAUUGGGCGUAAAGCGCACGUAGGCGGCUUAGCAAGUCGGAAGUGAAAUCCCUCGGCUCAACCAAGGAAGUGCUUUCGAAACUGCUGAGCUUGAGUACUUAAGAGGAUCGCGGAAUUCCCGGUGUAGAGGUGAAAUUCGUAGAUAUCGGGAGGAACACCAGUGGCGAAGGCGGCGCUCUGGACCGAGACUGACGCUGAGGCGCGAAAGCGUGGGGAGCAAACAGG
rnacentral:rRNA from 1 species